GCCUGGCUGGCUCAGUGAGUAGAGCAUGAGAUUCUUGAUAUUCGGGUUAUGAGUUCAAACCCCAUGUCGGGUA
rnacentral:tRNA from 1 species